AUGUCUUCAUGCCCAGUGGUAUCCGCUUCCAUGCCGCCGAGCCUCCUCAAUUGCUAUGCUAUAGCUGACUCAGGAAUGCAUUCAGGCUGUUGUUGCUAACUUGAGAGAGCCCAUGAAAUUUCUUCAGACGAUGAAACAAAUGCCGAGGUUCUCAGGUUUAUUGAUGUUGGCAUAGUCUGUUGUGGUAAUUUCCUGCGGAUGCGAGCUCGGCAAGUAUUGGCUGGUGCUGGAGACAUACGUAAUCAAGUUGCUUAACUAAUUUUAGUACCAUAUAUUCACUUUUAUAUUAACAAUUUAUUUUCAUGUAAGUGUAUGUAUUGAAAGUCUUGCCUUGCUUAUUUGCAGAUCAUAUGCCUACAAAACUAAGGGAAUUCGUGCUUAAAA